rnacentral:rRNA from 1 species
GGGCUCACACAAGCGGUGGAGCAUGUGGCUUAAUUCGAAGCAACGCGAAGAACCUUACCCGGGUUUGACAUGCUGGGAUGCUUCUGGGCGAUGAGUCGAGAAGUUACCUUUCGGGGUGAAACCAGCACAGGUGUUGCACGGCUGUCGUCAGCUCGUGCUGUGAAGUGUCGGGUUAAGUCCCUUAACGAGCGAAACCCUUGUCGCUAGUUACUAGCGGGUAAAGCCGUGGACUCUAGCGAGACUGCCGGCGUUAAGCCGGAGGAAGGCGGGGACGACGUCAAGUCAUCGUGGCCCUUAUGCCCGGGGAUGCACACGUGCUACAAUGACCACUACAGAGGGCUGCAAGACCGCAAGGUGGAGCAAAUCCCAAAAAAGUGGCCCCAGUUCGGAUUGGAGGCUGCAAUUCGCCUCCAUGAAGUUGGAAUCGCUAGUAAUCGCGCAUCAGCUACGGCGCGGUGAAUGUGUUCCUGAGCCUU